ensembl:lncRNA
CCGCAGGCCCGGCACAGCAGGGGAGGCCGGUUCUGCACUCCCCGCCCCACCCGGCCCGACUGCGGUCGCCUCGGCCCGGGCUCUCGGGGUGGGGGUGGGGCGGGGGUUCCCUGCCGGAGAAUCCUCCCCCGGGGCUGGCGGCGGCGGGGUGUGGGGUAGCGGCGGGGGGGGAGUAGGGAGAGGGGAGGGGACUGAAUCGGGGAAUGGAGGAUUAAGAAGGACUCGAGCUCGGCACGAGCGCGAUCGGCGCGAGGGAUCCUGGGUAAAAAGUGGCCGUGCGGCACCGGGAGAGCGCGGAGAGGAGCCAGGGUCAGAGGUCAGGGCCCUGGAGCCCCGCUUGCAGAGCCCCCCACGUGAACGCAGCGAGCAGGAGGAACCUUUUUGUUUUCGACCGCGCCAGCAUGCUCCCCUGUUGACCGAGCUGCUUUUCCCGGGCCGCUGGAGAGAGGAGCUCCAUCCCGGAUCUCCUAACCCCACCCCACCCCCGCCUUCCACCACCAACACACUACCCAACUCUACCCUUCCUCUCAACUCACUUCCCAGCCCCCCGUACCGGCCUUGCAAUAACGCAGUAAAUUUGCUUUAACAACAAGUGGGGGUGGUUGCAUUUACUCCUCCCUCUCCUCUCUCCUCCCCCUCCCCUUGCUGCGGCUCUUGACACUACUACAAACCAGGACUAUAAACAUAAACAUGUGUCACUGUAACUGGGCAGAGGCGGCUGACAUGGUCAACAUAUUUAUCAAAGGAACCCCCUGGCUUUUGAAGAACAGUACUUUAUACAUCUGGAUCUGCACAUCCAGGCAAAGCUUAGAAAUAUCCGUUUAUUCUUUUAACCACACGGAUGUGUCUAUUUUUGGAAGAACAAGGAAACAUAUAAAUGCCUGGGCUGCAUUCAUGCUGUAGUUCCAAACACCGAACAGUUAAGAAGAUUUUGCCGAAUUUUGCAAAGCAGCCAACAAACUGCCUUGGAAUCGUGGUGAUGCGACUGGGAAGACCUUUGCUCUCAUUUGGCAAUAUUUUGGAUAUCCUUGAAAAUGACACCAAAAUAUGCUUUAAUUUGACUAAGAAGAGGUUAAACAAUAUUGAUAUUCAUCCAAAGUGAUUUAAAAAAAAAAAAAGCAGAUGCUUGGCUUUCAUGGAAAAAAUGGGAGUUGUGGAAGAUUCAUUUAAACUACCAACCAAAAGCAUCACAGACCACUGAAAUAGUCUGCAUCAUACAUCAGCACUUUCUUUUCAUCGUUAUUACGUAAAACCUCUGGAAGCACCUUGGGCGGUUUACCUUUUCUUUUCUUUGCUACAGAAGCAAUCUGCUCCAUGGAAUUCUGACCUGUUGUGAACAGGACCCUGGCUAAGGCUGUGCUGGGGACUCUAGGACCAUCCUGCCUCCAAUCCAGCCUGCUUAAUUGCGAAAAGUGUACACAUUUCUGGCUUAUCUAUGCUUUGU